GCGCCCAUAGCUCAGUUGGAUAGAGUGACGGACUACGAAUCCGUGGGUCGCAGGUUCGAAUCCUGCUGGGCGCGCCA
rnacentral:tRNA from 1 species